rnacentral:rRNA from 1 species
AACGAACGCUGGCGGCAGGCCUAACACAUGCAAGUCGAACGCCCUGGCAACAGGGAGUGGCAGACGGGUGAGUAACGCGUGGGAACGUGCCCUUCGGUUCGGAAUAACUCAGGGAAACUUGAGCUAAUACCGGAUACGUGCGAGAGCAGAAAGAUUUAUCGCCGAAGGAUCGGCCCGCGUCCGAUUAGCUAGUUGGUGAGGUGACGGCUCACCAAGGCGACGAUCGGUAGCUGGUCUGAGAGGAUGAUCAGCCACACUGGGACUGAGACACGGCCCAGACUCCUACGGGAGGCAGCAGUGGGGAAUAUUGGACAAUGGGCGCAAGCCUGAUCCAGCCAUGCCGCGUGAGUGAUGAAGGCCCUAGGGUUGUAAAGCUCUUUCGCCAGGGACGAUAAUGACGGUACCUGGAUAAGGAGCCCCGGCUAACUUCGUGCCAGCCGCCGCGGUAA